GUUAAGAAAAUUUAUUUUGUCCACGAAAAGAAAAAAUUCAAAUUUAACUUAUUAAUAUUCAAAUCAUGUGCAAUUCAAUAGUAACUUAACCUCUAAAUCUUAUAUCUUCCAAUAUUAUUAAAACAAUAGAAGAUUUUAAAAAUUGCGAAAAAAAUUAAUAAUCUCAAUUAAUAACAACUUUUUGAGGAGAUAGAACAUAAGAUAAUGAGUAAUCAAGAAACAUCAAAGGGAUUUAAUUGAUCUUUUCUUUAAAGGAAAUAUUGGAUCACUGCUCGAAACAUAUACAGUACAAUACAAUAUUGUUCCGUGAGAAAUUGACACAUUUUCAAUAGCUGUUUUGAAACUUUAAAAAUUGGUAAGUAGAGAGAGUUGAAAUACUUUACGCACUGUAAUGUAAGCUUUGUAUAAAAUAUGAUGAAAAAAAAGUUUGAUUCGUCUUCUAAACAAUUUUCAUGAAAAAGAAAAACUCUGAUAUGUAACUUUCACUAGAGUUAACCUAUACAUAUAGACGAACAGGUUAUUUUCAUUCAUUUCUCCUAUAUGUAGAAUAAAAAUUGACAAUCUAAUCAAGUAAUGUGAAAGAAAAUAAGAUUAAAAUUAUAAAAAGUGAUGGAUUUACAAGACAUCGAAUUGAUCGAUCUUUUAUAAAGAAAGAAAAAUUGAAAUCUAUUAAUAAAACAUAUCAGGCUCAAGUGUUUCUUCGCCACAUAAAAGCGUCACUUUUUCUGCGACACGAAGCACAAAGAUCUUGGAAAAGGAGAAAAAUGUCGGCCGUUUAAAAACGCUUACGGCUGAUCCCCGUCUGCUCGGUUUCCCAAAGACACGCUCUUUGAGCAUUUGAUGUGCCCUCAUCCUUCUUGUUUCCAACUUGUGACGCAUAAUUUAUUUGAUACCACCUUUCCUCGUGCCUUCUGUUCAAAUCGUUCAAAUAUUUGUCUCCUUUUUUCUUUUUUUUUUUUUAUCUUUCAGCUGUUCAAAUUCUAUCGUUUCUUCUUCGAUUUUACUUUGACAAUUAACAGGAAUUCAUGCUUCGUCGUAUAGAUCGAACAAUUUUGAAAUAAUUAGUCUUUUAAUCUUUGCUUUUUUAAUACAAAAUUAAUAUUCGUCAGGAUGAAUGACAAUCAAAAAUUCUUAAUAAAAAUAUUCAAAUUGAUGAAAAUUAAAAAAUUUAAUUUUAGAAUUAAUAAUGGUUGCGUAAUUGGAGCGUAAAAUAAAAUUGAAGAAUUAAAAAUAUAUAUCGUAUCGAUGAAUAUUUCCAUAUUGAAUAUGGAAUUCGGUGAAUUUAAAGUUUAAAAAAUGCAUGCUGAUAUAGAGAACAAAGUUUCUAGAAAGGAAGUACAAUGCAAAUAUCUGUGGAAAGAGAAUGUUCCCGAAAUUAAUUCUCUAUUAAUUUAUAGAACCUUCUAUAAAUCAAUAUCUCUAUGUUCAUUCGUCUCUAGAUUAUUGAUUAAAUUAUGAUUACUAAUGGAUAUAUAUACUAAAUAUUACAUACUUAUUUUCUUUUUGUAACAUUCAAUCAAUUGCAAUUCUCAUAUAAAGUAGGAAAUUAAAAAAUAAUUAUCAUAACAUAAUCAUUCUUUUUUCUAGGUUUGAAGAAUAUGGCAAUGUAAUUAUAUUAACAUAAAUAAAUACUAAAAAUCAUUUAAAAAUGAAGAAAGAAGCGAUUAUUUAAAAAUCAUUGCUAUUCACAAAUUGAGAAUCACUCAUAGAGUGAAAAAUGUGAGUAUGUGUUAUAUAUAUCUUUGAAAGAUUGUAGAUACCGAAAAAUAAAAUAAUAUGAAUGAGAUUUAUUUUUCAAGUUAUAAGCAAUUUAAUAUCAUACAAUAAAAACGUAAAUAACUAGUUAUAUUUCAGUGUGCUAAACAGAGAACAUAUAUAGCGUCACAUAACAAAGCUUUUCAACUAAAAAUUUUUGAAAAGAUAUAUCUACUUAUAACAUAAAUGUUACGGUGAAAAACUAAUCAGUGAACCCAUUCAUGAAUUUAUUAUUGACCAUUCAAUUGGUUGGUUGGAUUGGUAAUUGGUAAUAGAUUCAAAUAUUAAACUAUUUGUUCAUUUAUUCUAAUCGCCAUUGAAAUUAUGUGAAAAGAUUGAAAAUAACAAUUAGAUAUUUUAAAAUCUAGACAUUAUAUAUAUUAAAGAAAAUGUGAUAUUUGUGUUGAGCUAUAAUUAAAUAGAGGAAGAUGUAUAAGGAUUUAAUAUUACAAAAUAUGUUUAUUCUGUUUCAUGAUUCUGUUAAUCUUGCAUGAAUGUAACAGUUCUCCUCCAUCGACACUUUCAACAUGAGAUCAUUCACUUUUUGCUCAAGGACAAAACAAUGAUUUUUUUAUUAUCAUUAAUGAUUCAUAUAUCAAAAUA